AGCAGUAGCCGCGGUAAUACGUAGGUGGCAAGCGUUGUCCGGAAUUAUUGGGCGUAAAGGGCUCGCAGGCGGUUUCUUAAGUCUGAUGUGAAAGCCCCCGGCUCAACCGGGGAGGUCAUUGGAAACUGGGAAACUUGAGUGCAGAAGAGGAGAGUGGAAUUCCACGUGUAGCGGUGAAAUGCGUAGAGAUGUGGAGGAACGCCAGUGGCGAAGGCGACUCUCUGGUCUGUAACUGACGCUGAGGAGCGAAAGCGUGGGGAGCGAACAGGAUUAGAUACCCCUGUAGUCCCUGUCUCUUAUACA
rnacentral:rRNA from 1 species